rnacentral:tRNA from 1 species
GGCUCUGUGGCGCAAUGGAUAGUGCAUUGGACUUCUAGGCUGUGAGCUGAGCCAUUCAAAGGUUGUGGGUUUGAGUCCCACCAGAGUCG